UGUCCUCAGGCCCGGUUCGUUUGCGGGCCAUCCUUUAUACUUCUCUCAUCAGUUCUUUAACGGGGCAGGAGCUGGGUCUCUGUUAGCCUGUUUGUUUAUCUGGAAAGUGGGGGUAUUCCUUAUACUACCCUCAUUGUAGUACUAGCAAGCUACAGGAUCUGUAAGGCAAAGAGGGCCUAGUAAAAGCCUUCCCCAAAUGCACUGCUGUGUGAGAGCAGGAGCUGUCUAUUUUAUUCCCAUGACUGGAGGAGCACCAGGCCCAGAGUAGGCACCCAAUAAAUGUAAGCAAUUAUUGGAA